rnacentral:misc_RNA from 1 species
GAUAUUCCUGGACAGGCCGAUGAACUGGAGUCCCCCGCUCUUGUCGUAGACAGCAUAAACGCCGGAUCCAGAGGGGAACUUGCUCUCUAUCUCCUCGGAUCCCGGCGGGAUGGGGACGAGCUCCGUAUCAGCUAGCUUACCUACUGAGGCGGUGAUCGUAACUUUGCCCCCGCCAUCGGCGGUGGCGGAGUGGUGGAAGCCUUUACGUCGG